rnacentral:rRNA from 1 species
GACAAACGCUGGCGGCAUGCCUAAUACAUGCAAGUAGGACGCAGUUGCGAACGGGUGAAUAACGCGUAGGUAACUAACAAUUAGAGGGGUAUAACUAUUGGACACGAUAGCUAAUACCGCAUACUAGUAAAUGGACCUGCGUUCUAUUAGCUAGUAGGGAGAGUAAAGGACGACCUAGGAAACGAUACAUAGCCUAACUGAGAUGGUGAUCGGCCAAACUGGGACGGAGACACGGGCCAGACUCCGACGGGGGUCAGCAGGAGGGAAUCUUCGGCAAUGGGGGGAACCCUGACCGAGCAACGCCGCGUGAGUGAAGAAGGUUUUCGGAGCGUAAAGCUCUGUUGUUAAGGAAGCGGUACGUAACCAGAAAGGGACGGCUAACUACGGGCCAGCAGCCGCGGUAAUUC